rnacentral:lncRNA from 1 species
CGUGCAACGCACGUCUCAAUCGACAUCAAAUAAUUGUUAAUAAAUAGUUGUCUAAUAUUUACAUAGUUUUUCAUCCGUACAUAUCUUUAUUACUGAUUUAUAAUGUUUUUCGGAUGGAAGCAAAACUAAAUUACGGAUAAAUAAAGAAUGUGCAAAUUAGUUCAAGAUCAAUAAAUUUAUGUAACUUAUGUUGCUAGUACGGACACCCUAGUAGUCACUUAUUUGCUACUAUUUCUUAGCCAUAUCAUCCUGAUUCUACCCUUUGUCCCAUCAUAGAAAUUGACACAUCACACAUGGCUGCAACAGUCUCAACGUGAUGAAGAGCCAAAUCAGUUUCCUCCUCCGUCUUACACAUGACCUUGCUUCCUGUCAUGUCACAAAAGAAGAAAACAGUCCCUUUCUCUGUAAGAUUGAACAGAGUCAAGCCAUAAAAGAAAAUGGACAAGCUGAUUUUUUCAUCAUGAAAUUUUGUGUUUUGAAAUAGUUACUAAAUAUGUAAUGUUUAGUCCAGCAGCCAAAUGGUUAUACCCCAGAGUUGUUUACAUCAUUGCUUCACUCAUGGUUCAGUGCCAUGAUGGCAUAAAAGAUAUCUUAGAAAAAGCCGGAUACAUAGUAAUGCCUAAUUAACAGAUGGUCAAAGCAAUUAUCAAAAAACAUGAAGAGCAGGUUAACCAUUGUUACAUCCCAAAUCUAUGAGAACAUCUGUAAAUAAUUAUCUGUAAUGGGGUGUUUAGAGUACACCUGCUUUGGUUGUACUGGGGUGUGGUCGAGAGUGGAUGUUCGCAUCCAUUUCGAGGCUUCUUGUACAUUGUAUUUUCUCUCUUUUAUAAAAGUAUGCCUUUGGCGUACUCUCAAAAAAAAAGAAUAUCUGUAAAUUGUAGAAGAAAAUGGCGCAGUUAUGAAAAGAAAACAAAGCUUUAACCUUGGUGUAGUAAAAACUAAAAGGUAACUUAUCCCUACAGUCUAAUAACAGAACAACACAUGAGUAAACAACUUGCUGUUUUCUGUAAAGGGUGAAUUUCAUUGGCAGCAUGUCUGAACUAUCAUAAUAAAAUUAGUCAGGCCUCCUAAAUUUUGUUACUCAAGAAACUAUCUGCAGGUCCCUGAAAUUUUGCUAUGCAUUUUUGGAAGAGAAGAGCACCAUUUCAAAUUCACAAUACUGCGUGAUAGUUUGUUUCUCGAGCCUAAACAAAAGCAAAACUUCCUCUAGACACUUGCUUAAUGUAAGAGCGGAACAAACUUUCAUAAUUUCAAACUGAAGAUUUCAAAGUCAUACACAUGGCAGAUAAUUCAUACUUUAGGAGGAAAUUAGUUUGCCUCCAAAUCCAACAGCAAUCAACAAAAAUACACAUGGAAAAUGGCAUUUAAUAGUACACUGUAAACAGAACACUGAAUGGAUAAUGAUACUAAAAUGUGUUUACAAAGGUCAACAGAAUACAGAUCUUACCAACGAACAAAGAUGAAGUGAUGAACUGACCGGUUUCAGUGAAGUGGCUAAUGUCAUGACCUCGGUUUUCUGCUGAAGCAACUCAUUUUCUCUUUCAGAUAGCUGAACUGCUAAAAUACCCACCUAUGGAAAGUACCAAAAUAUUGAAGUGUUUACAAACAAAGAGAUCAUUUAGGCAUGUAUAUAUAUGUAGGUCGACUGGUGGAGACUUCUUUGAAUAAAAACUCACCUGCUACUAUUUUUUACACAAUGAAACUGUACGUGCUNN